GACAGAGGGUGCAAACGUUGUUCGGAAUUACUGGGCGUAAAGGGCGCGUAGGCGGUCUGCUAAGUUGGAUGUGAAAACUCUGGGCUUAACCCAGAGCCUGCAUUCAAUACUGACAGGCUAGAGUUCUGGAGGGGAUAGCGGAAUUCCUGGUGUAGCGGUGAAAUGCGUAGAUAUCAGGAGGAACACCGGUGGCGAAGGCGGCUAUCUGGACAGAGUCUGACGCUGAGGCGCGAAAGCUAGGGGAGCAAACAGG
rnacentral:rRNA from 1 species